CGCUGAACUUAAGCAUAUCAAUAAGCGGAGGAAAAGAAACUAACAAGGAUUCCCCUAGUAACUGCGAGUGAAGCGGGAAAAGCUCAAAUUUAAAAUCUGGCAGUUUCGGCUGUCCGAGUUGUAAUCUGGAGAAGCGUUUUCCGCGUUGGACCGUGUACAAGUUUCCUGGAACGGAGCGUCAUAGAGGGUGAGAAUCCCGUCUUUGACACGGACCCCAAUGCUUUGUGAUACGCUCUCAAAGAGUCGAGUUGUUUGGGAAUGCAGCUCAAAAUGGGUGGUGAAUUCCAUCUAAAGCUAAAUAUUGGCGAGAGACCGAUAGCGAACAAGUACCGUGAGGGAAAGAUGAAAAGCACUUUGGAAAGAGAGUUAAACAGUACGUGAAAUUGUUGAAAGGGAAACGCUUGAAGUCAGUCGCGUUGGCCGGGACUCAGCCUUGCAUCCGCUUGGUGUACUUUCCGGUCGACGGGCCAGCAUCAAUUUUGACCGCGGGAUAAAGUCCAGGGGAAGGUGGCUCUUCGGAGUGUUAUAGCCUCCGGUCACAUGCCGCGGUCGGGAUUGAGGAAUUCAGCACGCCUUUGAUUAGGUUCGGGGUUCGCCCACGUUCGUGCUUAGGAUGCUGGCGUAAUGGCUUUAAACGACCCGUCUUGAAACACGGACCAAGGAGUCUAACAUGCCUGCGAGUGUUCGGGUGGAAAACCCGUGCGCGUAAUGAAAGUGAAAGUUGGGAUCCCUGUCGUGGGGUGCACCGACGCCCGGACCAGAACUUCUGUGACGGAUCUGCGGUAGAGCAUGUAUGUUGGGACCCGAAAGAUGGUGAACUAUGCCUGAAUAGGGUGAAGCCAGAGGAAACUCUGGUGGAGGCUCGUAGCGAUUCUGACGUGCAAAUCGAUCGUCAAAUUUGGGUAUAGGGGCGAAAGACUAAUCGAACCAUCUAGUAGCUGGUUCCUGCCG
rnacentral:rRNA from 1 species